AGCAGUGUGGUGUAGUGGUAAGGAACUGGGCUUGUAACCAAAAGGUUGCUGGUUCAAUUCCCCACUGGGG
rnacentral:tRNA from 1 species